rnacentral:rRNA from 1 species
AAAGGUCUCGGUAGGUGACCUGCGGAGGGUCAUUACACAAAUAUGAAGGCGGGCUGGAACCUCUCGGGGUUACAGCCUUGCUGAAUUAUUCACCCUUGUCUUUUGCGUACUUCUUGUUUCCUUGGUGGGUUCGCCCACCACUAGGACAAACAUAAACCUUUUGUAAUUGCAAUCAGCGUCAGUAACAAAUUAAUAAUUACAACUUUCAACAACGGAUCUCUUGGUUCUGGCAUCGAUGAAGAACGCAGCGAAAUGCGAUAAGUAGUGUGAAUUGCAGAAUUCAGUGAAUCAUCGAAUCUUUGAACGCACAUUGCGCCCUUUGGUAUUCCAAAGGGCAUGCCUGUUCGAGCGUCAUUUGUACCCUCAAGCUUUGCUUGGUGUUGGGCGUCUUGUCUCUAGCUUUGCUGGAGACUCGCCUUAAAGUAAUUGGCAGCCGGCCUACUGGUUUCGGAGCGCAGCACAAGUCGCACUCUCUAUCAGCAAAGGUCUAGCAUCCAUUAAGCCUUUUUUUCAACUUUUGACCUCGGAUCAGGUAGGGAUACCCGCUGAACUUAA